rnacentral:lncRNA from 1 species
ACCCCAAAAUUUGCCCUCCUCAUUCAUGCAUUCAUUUAGCAUUUCAUAUUGCAUUUCAUCAUGUCAAUCAGAAUUAGAUCCAAAAAAAAAAAAAAACGAAAAAAAAAAAUUAAUUAAUUAAUUAAUUAUUUAAUUAAUUAAAUAAAUAAUUAAAUAAAUAAAAUAUAUAAUAAAAAAUUUUGGACUUGGGUCUCUCUCAUUUGAGCCCACAAAACCAUGAAAUUCAUUCUAUAAAUACCAAGGAUUCACUUGAGAGAACACAAAACAAAUGGGGAUUUUGAAGAGA